rnacentral:rRNA from 1 species
GAUGAACGCUGGCGGCGUGCCUAAUACAUGCAAGUCGAGCGAACAGACGAGGAGCUUGCUCCUCUGACGUUAGCGGCGGACGGGUGAGUAACACGUGGAUAACCUACCUAUAAGACUGGGAUAACUUCGGGAAACCGGAGCUAAUACCGGAUAAUAUAUUUAACCGCAUGGUUCAAUAGUGAAAGACGGUUUUGCUGUCACUUAUAGAUGUAUCCGCGCCGCAUUAGCUAGUUGGUAAGGUAACGGCUUACCAAGGCAACGAUGCGUAGCCGACCUGAGAGGGUGAUCGGCCACACUGGAACUGAGACACGGUCCAGACUCCUACGGGAGGCAGCAGUAGGGAAUCUUCCGCAAUGGGCGAAAGCCUGACGGAGCAACGCCGCGUGAGUGAUGAAGGUCUUCGGAUCGUAAAACUCUGUUAUUAGGGAAGAACAAAUGUGUAAGUAAAUAUGCACGUCUUGACGGUACCUAAUCAGAAAGCCACGGCUAACUACGUG